rnacentral:tRNA from 1 species
GCCGACGUGGCGGAAUUGGCAGACGCGCUGGACUCAAAAUCCAGUUCACGCAAGUGAGUGUGGGUUCGAUCCCCUCCGUCGGCA